rnacentral:lncRNA from 1 species
GGGGUCUUCCAAGAGAGAGAGAGCUUUUGUGAGGAAAAUUUUCUGCGAGAGAGAAAUUGGAUGUAUGAGGGUUGAAGGUGAGAUCUCAUUUUGUAAAAUUUUUUUUUCAUAAUGAAGUUUGCAUGCCCUGUAGAGGUGAGCCCUUUUGUGGCUGAUCCACGUAUUUUUAUUGUUUUUGUUUUAUUUCUUCUUUUUUCCUGCUGCAUCACGCAGUACCGAAAAGAUCUUGAGAGGUG